rnacentral:rRNA from 1 species
UACGAAGGGGGCUAGCGUUGCUCGGACUCACUGGGCGUAAAGGGUGCGUAGGCGGGUCUUUAAGUCAGGGGUGAAAUCCUGGAGCUCAACUCCAGAACUGCCUUUGAUACUGAGGAUCUUGAGUUCGGGAGAGGUGAGUGGAACUGCGAGUGUAGAGGUGAAAUUCGUAGAUAUUCGGAAGAACACCAGUGGCGAAGGCGACUUACUGGACACAUAUUGACGCUGAGGUGCGAAAGCGUGGGGAGCAAACAGG